UACAGAGGGGGCAAGCGUUAUUCGGAAUUAUUGGGCGUAAAGGGCGCAUAGGCGGCUUUGCAAGUGACGGGUGAAAGCCCUCGGCUUAACCGAGGAACUGCCUGUCAGACUGUAAGGCUUGAGACCGGGAGAGGUGAGUGGAAUUCCCAGUGUAGCGGUGAAAUGCGUAGAUAUUGGGAGGAACACCAGUGGCGAAGGCGGCUCACUGGACCGGAACUGACGCUGAGGCGCGAAAGCGUGGGGAGCAAACAGG
rnacentral:rRNA from 1 species